GAUGUGGUGGCCGAGUGGUUAAGGCGAUGUUUAUAUUCCUAUUUCCCUUUGAUCAUUUAAUUUAUUAAAUGGUCCGUCUUAUAGGAUUAACACUAGAAAGUCAUUUUCCUUUGGAAGCGCGGGUUCGAAUCCCGUCCACAUCA